ACAGUUUGAUUCUAGCUGCAUUGUCUGUGCGUGUGCGAAACCAGAUACAUGCAAGACCUUUCAUCCCCAUAAGUAGGGAGUACGAAGAAUAAUAAAACUUAAAGUUUGUUUAUCUUCAUACCUUCUCGCCGUUUCAGGGCUCCACCAACAACGCGCAUCUAACUUUAUGCCUGCAGUACUAAAUCCUGCAACAAGUAAGGCAACUUAGCUUCGAUUCCGCACACUUUAGGACCGGUAAAUUUUGUGCCAGCGACCGCGGUUUAACGAAAUGUCCAAAUAGAUUAAACCGGCAUCUGUGGUAAGUGACCAAGAUGACACCAAUUAAAAGUUUAAAGGGGUGCAAUCUGAUCAACUAUAAUUUUUCCACCUGUGUCAUUAACACAAACCCACGAAAGCUUAGACCAAAACCAGGAUUAGAUACCCAAUUAUUCUAAGCCUCUAACCACUGCCAGGGUAGUACGGACACACGUCUAAAACCCAAAGAAAUUGGCGGCAUUCUAACGUCUCAGGGGAAUCUGUCCUUUAAUCCGAUGAUCCGCGUAUAUCAUACUCUUCCUAGACACAACAAAUCAGCUUAUGUAUUGCCGUCUUAUCUGUUGACCCCUCAGGGGGAAAAAAGUCAGCUCAAAGGCUUGAUCAAUUCCCAAAUCAAGCCUCCAAGUCAGGUCAAAAUAUAGCCAAUGGAAGAGGAGAGAUGGAUUACAACUAUACCCACAACCCCGCAUCCCACAUGAAAUCGUGGUGAUAAAGCAGGACUUGAAAGUAAGAGCAUAUACAAAAUAAUACUCUGAAUUCAGCAUCUAGAAUGAGCACAAAUCGCCCGUCACCCUCGCCGAAAGGUGAGGUAAGUCGUAACAUGAGUGGGCGUAACGGAAGUUGCGCCC
rnacentral:rRNA from 1 species